AUACCCUGCAGUGAUCUUUACGAGCACGGCAAGCGCUCUCCUCUCCCUGCACCACCACCAUCAUCAUCAAACAAGGAAAAGACCACAGUCCCACUACACGCUGCACUACACGCAACUCAGCUGUAUCUCACUUCACACCUUGCCUCUGCUGCUCGCUACGCCCCCGACCCACUUACCAACUUACUCGAGCAGCACAAGAACGCAGGAACAAUGAAUCAGUACCACGAAAUCAUCGAGGCAGACAAGGCCUACCUGGAAGAGGUGGGCAUGCGCAACAUCCUGCAGCAGUUUGUGGCCGACGCCAUGGAGAGCCGACCCGGCAACGUCUAUGAGUACAUGAUUACGUGGGCCACGAAGAUACAGGCAUCGUCGAUUUCGCUGCUAAAGGGCAUCGAGCACAGCAACGAGGAGGAGGAUGCUACCGCAAAGACGCACCCUGAUGCCAGCGACCACUCGGAGCACGACACCCGAUUGGACGGAAGGUCACCGUCGUGGGCUCAUUCGUCGAAGCGCACCAGUUCCGUAGAGUAGAGGGCUUCCUCGCCUGCGGCAGCGGCCAAGUGAAAGGAGGCGGAGGGCGAGGAGGAGCUGUAGAAAGGGAGGUGAAGAAACGGGCGAGGCGAUAGUGCCCUCACGUGUGCGUCUGUGUGCGCGUGCUUUGUUCUGGUCAGCUGCGGAGCUUGUUCAGUUACAAAACGAGUUGGAUUCUUUCUCUGCGCCGUCUCUCUUGUGUCUCCUGCCGCCAGUUCAUGCGAUUCUGGAAGGCAUGUCCACCAUUCGCGGAUGCCAGUCCAAUCCUUGCGGCGGUGGCAACGGGAUCAGGAUGAGAGGGCGACUCGCUUCUCUCUUUCCCUUGCCGUUUUGCAUGUGGUAUCGUUGACCUCGUCAGUGCCCCUAAGACACGCUGUGCUUGAGCUGCAGGCCUGCGGCUGCUGCUGAUCACGUGGAAGAGCGUCCUGUUUUCUCUCCUCGUACACGCUGGUUCAGGCUCGUGUGCGUGUGUGUGUAUGGUUUCUUCCGGUUGCGCCUGUGAUGAUGUAUAAGCACUCGGCUUCCUCUGUGGCACGCGUGCCUACACACGUAC
rnacentral:misc_RNA from 1 species